GGGCUGGAAAUUGUUUGUCAGCUGAAGGGGCAUGAGACCGGGAACGUGUGUCUGCUGGAGCCGUGGACACUGAAGCCCGAUUGCCCCGGAGUGAGCGCCGAGGGGGAGGCCUAGAAAUCGGGGAGGCAGGUGGUCUUGUCAGGGCGUCUGGCUGUAGUGGUUAGGGAGAGAUAGGGGGCCACAACUGAGAUGGAGCAAGUGGAGGCUGAGCUCAGGAGGAGGAUUCCUAGGAUGGGAGAGAUUGGAGCUUGUCCCAAUGCUGGGCAGGCAGGCAGAAUCCUGAGAGGGACUGGAGAGGGGCUGUUAACCGUGUCAGGUUCCGAGAAGCAGGGAGGGGUGGAAGGGGUGGUCUGGGAUGGGAGGAAGCAGAGCGGGGAUGCCGAUGGGGAUGGGGUUCGGGGCUGGCGAGGGAGCUGAGGGAGUUCCCAUCUUUGGGCUUCAGCUUUUUCUGAAGGCGCAGGUUGGGUGGUGCAGAGGUGACGGAGGUGGAAGAGGGGCUGAGUAGCAGAGGGAGCCAAGCAGUGAGAUGCAGUAGGAUCGCUGGACAGUCUUGAGGGCUGGUUUGUAGCUGGUGCUACCUAGUCUGCCUUUCUAACAAGCCAGUCUUAUUUGUUUAAUUACCCUGUGGCCUGUGGUCUAGCAGGAGGUAAUGUGCUGAAUGCUUUUUCUUUAGAUAAAUGUUAAUUUUCUAGGGAAGUCCUAAAUUCACACCCUUUUUCCUCCGUGAGUUCCAGGGUUGGUUUGAGCCACCUGGAAGCAAGCUCGGAGGGAUGGGGCAGUUUUGUUGCGGCUGAGACUUUUUUUCGGUCUGAGAAGCCCUCCUCUCCCUUCCUGGCAGGGAAAUGCAGGAAGGAAGCAUCAAGAAACUAUUGAGAUUGGCUGGUCAGUCAGCUUUAAGGUGUGGCUUUUUACAGUUUUUUCCAAACAAGUUCUUAGGGCCCCCAGACACCCAUAGUAUAAAAUGUGAACACACGUCCUUUCUGUGGGCAGAUAUGUUACUUUGGAUGCUCCAUAUCUUUAGUGCAGUCUAUUCCCAGUGGAUUUGAUGGUAAUAUUGACAUCAGCUGUGGUGUUUGUCAAAAGCCCUGUGUUGUCACCUCUCUCAUUCCCCCUCGCUGACCGUAAAGGCGAGGUUGGGAGCAUGGGGUGUUGUUGCUUUCUAGUCCCAGGACCCGCCCCCCACCAUGGAGUUGGCCGUGGCUGUCCUGAAGGACCUACUCCGCUAUGCGGCCCAGCUUCCUACACUCUUCCGGGACAUCUCCAUGAACCACCUCCCUGGCCUUCUCACCUCCCUGCUGGGCCUCAGACCGGAGUGUGAACUCUCUGCACUGGAAGGAAUGAAGGCUUGUAUGACGUAUUUUCCCCGGGCGUGUGGAUCUCUCAAAGUAAGUAUUCAUGGAAGCUCCUCUCCCGCCCAGCAUAAACCUUGGUAGCUGUCUCACCUCAGAUUCCGAUGCUGAGGUUUUAGGUACCUGUCUUCUGAUUAUUGUCACCUAUCUCCACAGCUGUAAUUAUGCCACCUCGUGGCCUUAAAUGCAUUCUCACUUAAUUGUCAUAGAUACAUUGAAAUUAAGUAACUUGCUUAAGGUCUGAUGCCAAAGCCAGGCUCUUACCCCUGGAUGCCUUCCUUUUUCUGCCCUGCCUUCUCUGUACCUCUAGAAUGCCUGCCCAUUUUUUAUUUUGUUUUAUUUUGUUCCUAAAGCUCUUGUAAUUUCCUCCGGGAAGGCUUCCUGAUUUACUUCUUCCCUAGAUCAACUUCUCCAGCACUUUCUGCGCCUUAUAUUCCUAAUUUCCCUCCAUGACUUCCCUACCCUGUCCCCCGAAUUGUCAUGAUCAAUACAGAGGUGGCUGUGCAGCAGGGCCUUAGCAGGUCAGAGAGGCAGGGUGGAGAUGGGUCAGGUGUGGGAGGAGGGAGGUCAGUGAGAAAAUCUGAGUUUUGUUUUCAAGGAGAUUCACAAAAAAA
rnacentral:lncRNA from 1 species